rnacentral:lncRNA from 1 species
AUGCUGGGUCCAGGUUUUUGUAGUGCUUCUGUUCUGGAUGUUUAUUUUUUUUUUUUUUUUUUUUUUGCAGUAGGCGUGUUUAGAUUGUUCUCUAUUUUGAUGAUACAAUUUGGAGAUUUGGGGGCUAAAGAUAUGCAGGACCCAAUUUUCCCCUGGGGGAAUACUUUGGAGUGCCAGUGCCUGCACACACAGGCAUCCACCCACGGCUUCUGGCCUCCUUCCAUGCACACCUAUACACAACACUGUCACAUCCUUAACACUCUCUUGAGAAAUGCACAACUCUCUCCAACAGACUGCAAAAGCAGAAGGCAACAAUGGAUCUGAAGGAGACUUUGAUGUCAUAAACCCAAGAUUAUGACUUCACGAUCAAGCAGCGAGAGAACCCAGGAUGAGAGAAGGAAAAUAGAACACAUUCAUCUUUGGAAACCAGCAAGGGGAAUCCAGAAAAUUAGACAAAAAAAACGGAAUGUUUUUAAUUUCCCUCAAAAUGUCUUUGCUUCCAAGCUACUAUGCUGAUUGACAUCUGGUCUUUCUAGCUAUUCAAGUAGAAGCCAAUUGGGAUCAGAUUUAUCACUGGUGACAUCAAUAGAGUUUCACCAGAAUGACCUGGGAUCUUUAUGCCUCUAGGGGGAAGAUACCUAGUGAUCUCAAAUGCAAGAGUCACAGUACUUUAUAUGCUUCUUCAUCCUCACCUACAUUAUGAAAGCUUGCUGUGUGCUUAUAUUAAUUAGCUGUUUUACCAAUGUAACAAUCUUUUAAAAAUACAUUUACAUUAUCAGCGUGCCAUGGGGCCUAAUUUGCCACCCAUACGCUCGUUGAAUAAUACCUUAUUCUGUGAAUAGUUUGAAUGGGCUACUACACAGGAAUAGAAGUGGCAAAAUUUGGCCCAAAGUUAACUUCAGGAACAAUCUGAUUGUAAUUAACAACAAAUGUUUGGUGUUAAUUUUGUUCAUUUUGUGGUUGAUUUUUGAUAUUAGUGUUAUUUAUUCUUGUACUGCAGGAACACCUAGGAACUUCAGUCGUGGGCCAGGCCCCCAUCAUGCUGGGCAUUAUACAAACAGAACACAGAGAUGGUGUCUGCCUCAAAUAGUUUACGAUGAUAUGCUGAGAAUUUGACCUUUUUUCCCCCUUUGGCUGGAUCUUAAAUGGAGAAAAUGCGACUUUGUUUUUAUAUUAAACAAAAAAAAGUACAACUAGAUUGACAACUUGCAUGUCAGGGUUUUACCUGAUGCAGUCUGAGACAGCUGAUAUGUUACCACCCCUCUUGCAAUGAGAUUUAUAAUGGAAAUGCUGACAAGACACCUAUGUUUGGAGACGGCACCAUGCACUGCUUUAAAAACUUGUUAUGAAUGUUAAUUGGUUAUCUGAAGAGUUUUCUUUUUCCAGGUGUAGGCAGCCCAGGACACAGCCUCGGUAAUACAAUGUAACGAAUCCAUGAAAACACAGGAUGCUUAUGUGAGUAUUAGAAUGGCUGGCAUUUCUGCAAACAGUGUUGCAGUUUUAUUUUCAGAGAUUAAUCAAUAAUAAGCUCUUUGAUAUUGCUAUGUACUUGGAGAAUAGCAUUUCCUUAGGAUGACAGCUAAGCAACUUUCCCACGGUUUUAUGUCUAGGUUUGCGUUUUAAUCAGUCUGCUUGGGGGAUUGUCAUGAACUUCAGUGCUACACAAAAUAAAUAGAAGGCAAGCCACA